UCUUCCUCCCUUCUUUUAACAAUGUGAAGUGACUCAGGCCCGGGUGUCUCUUUCCCCAUGCCUCCCUCCCACUGCCGGUUCAGCUUUGAACUGUCUCCAGGGAAUCCUUUCUGCAGAACCCUGUCUUGUUCAGAGGCUCUAGCAUUCGGGGACUGGAAAAGCCCUUUGAAAGAGAAGGUAGCCUUUGUAUGCCAAGGUCAGAGCUGGAGGAGCAGGCCGAGAAUGGAACAUGAGGCUGCCGCACCUGAGUCCAGAACUCUUCUUCCAAUGCCACACUGCCUCUGAGCCUAUCCUUGGGGACCUCUCUGUGCCAGGGUCCUGCCCCUCCCUCGUCACACCCUUGUCAUUCCAGGAUAUGGGGACAAACCACUCCUUUCCAGCCAGGGUGCCUUCAAGCCUUCUCAGCUCAGCUGCAAAUCUGUAUUCACAGUCCAGUCUUUCUUCCCACCUCCGAAUGUUCCUAUCCAAUUUGCAGGGAAGUUCUGGACCUUUUCCUUCCAUUGGGACACAAGAAAGUGUCUGCAGAGCAGCUUCCUGUGCUGCUCCUCAGAAGAUCUCUGGCCUCCUCACCAUGAACUUGGCUCAGUGGCAGGUUGUGAGGACCUGGGGAGAACCCCCCAUUCUGGAAUCUACCCUAUAAGCCUGGAAAUUUCCUACCACUGACUUCUGGACAGAACAGGCAGAUGUGAGAUCUUGGGGAGCGGAGACAUUUGAUGCACCGGGGUCUCUGUCAGGCCACUGCUAAUUCUUUGCUUCUGUGGAGGAAUCUCUCAGGCCCCACUGCCAGGUUCUAGGGGAGGAGGAAAUAUGAUCAGGUGACAUCCCCCUUUAGGGCUCUUCAUUGCUGUGUACACAUAGGCACCUCUUCCUAGAGUUCACAGAGGAGCAGCAUCCCGUCACACAGGCUCACACGCACACGUCCUUAGAUACAUGUCUGUCUGUCACUCCACACACAUGACUCUAGCCUAGCUUGAGACUCAAGGCACAUAAGCUGCAUUUGUACCAGUAUCUUAAAUCUCUUUGGGUGCUGAAAAGUCCUCUUCUUUAUGCUGGCUUAAAAAAAAAGUCAGCAUUAGUAUUUCUAGGGAUUAAAGCAAAUGACACCGGAAUGUAAGCAAUCUUUCCCAGUUACGUUGAGUCAGAAUUGAUUCAGUCUCUGUGACGUAGCUGCAUUUUGGAGACUAACACACUGGCUGUAGCCUCAUUCUGGGUUUUGUCUGAUUGAUGUUUCCUCAUGAACGAGCCCUGCAGCCCCAUGCCGGGAAUUUGUGCUGGAUGGUCUGACCCUAGCCUGAGAAGCCUCCACUGUCUCCCAGACCAAGUGCCAAACCAGCAGGGGAGUGGACAGGUGGGGUGGGAUCUAGGUGCUCAGGCUGGAGGGAGGGGGGUCCAUAAAGGAGAGGAGAGCAGCAUGAAAUCCAAGCCGUGACCUGCUGGAUUUGCACGUCUCAGAUCCUUGUGAUGGGCAUAGUCCCCAAAGCAGUGUUCUAGUGUUCUCUCUCUCUCUCUCUCUCUCUCUCUCUCUCUCUCUCUCUCUCUCUCUCUCUCUCUCUCUCUCUCUCUCUCUCUCCUCUCUCACUCUCUCUCUCAUCCUCUAUUUCUCACUCUCUGGAUCUUUCUUACUUACUUACUUGUGGUCUUGUGGUCUGUGAGAAUGCCCAGGAAAAAGCUCUCUGCUCUGACGUUGGAAGAGCUCAGCCAAAUGCUAGGGACAGGGUGGGGUGGGAAGCUUCAUCCAACUGGGGUCAUCUGGUAGCUGCUGGACAAUUUGUUCCUAGAGAGUCAACUGCUAAGGUGCCACAGCCACUGAGGUUCUAGCAGCAGAGGAAAAAUACGUGGUCAGUGGGAGCGAGGGCGAAAUGGGUGUUCCUAAGCUUCCCCUCAGUAGCACUUCAGCUCCUCCUGGAGACGAGGCUGGGCACAGGCCUGAGUGGACUGCCGUGGUGGGGGAAGGCCUUGGCUCCAACCCUCCUCUCUCCUCUGCAGAGAAAGGGGUAGGGUUUAUGUGGAUGUGGGGUCUAGGACUGUGCUGACUUCUGGUAUCAGCAAGAGGGCUCCUUUUGUAAUUUGUGCAUGAGAUUCAUGUCAUUUAUGAGGGAGAGGAGAGGGCUGACUAGAAGGGUGGGGCAUGAGGGAUGCAGAGGGGAGCUGCCAGCUCACCUGGUCAGGGCUCUCCAAGCUACAAGUGGGAGCCUUCCUCCAUUAAUGUACAAUCUUGAACUAACUACUAAUAAAGUGGGGUUCUCUUUGUA